AUUGAACGCUGGCGGCAUGCCUUACACAUGCAAGUCGAACGGUAACAGGUCUUCGGAUGCUGACGAGUGGCGAACGGGUGCGUAAUACAUCGGAACGUGCCCGAUCGUGGGGGAUAACGGAGCGAAAGCUUUGCUAAUACCGCAUACGAUCUACGGAUGAAAGCAGGGGACCGCAAGGCCUUGCGCGGACGGAGCGGCCGAUGGCAGAUUAGGUAGUUGGUGGGAUAAAAGCUUACCAAGCCGACGAUCUGUAGCUGGUCUGAGAGGACGACCAGCCACACUGGGACUGAGACACGGCCCAGACUCCUACGGGAGGCAGCAGUGGGGAAUUUUGGACAAUGGGCGAAAGCCUGACCCAGCCAUGCCGCGUGCAGGAUGAAGGCCUUCGGGUUGUAAACUGCUUUUGUACGGAACGAAAAGACUCUUUCUAAUAAAGAGGGUCCAUGACGGUACCGUAAGAAUAAGCACCGGCUAACUACGUG
rnacentral:rRNA from 1 species